rnacentral:rRNA from 1 species
UUGACCCGUCUUGAAGCACGGACCAAGGAGUCCAGCAUGCGCGCGAGUCGACGGGACGCACUAGACCCGAAGGCGUAUUGAACGAAAAGGCCCGCCUCGCGCGGGCUUAGGGGAGAUGGCGGCCUCCGGGCCGCCCGCACCCCCGGGGCGUCUCGAUCUACCGCCGCAAGGCGGAAGGCGAGGCGCACCUAGAGCGCGCACGCUGGGACCCGAAAGAUGGUGAACUAUGCCUGGCCAGGACGAAGUCAGGGGAAACCCUGAUGGAGGUCCGUAGCGAUUCUGACGUGCAAAUCGAUCGUCAGAGCUGGGUAUAGGGGCGAAAGACUAAUCGAACCAUCUAGUAGCUGGUUCCCUCCGAAGUUUCCCUCAGGAUAGCUGGCGCCCGUGGACCGAGUCCCAUCCGGUAAAGCGAAUGAUUAGAGGCCUUGGGGUCGAAACGACCUCAACCUAUUCUCAAACUUUAAAUGGGUGGGAUCCGCGGCUUUUUUGAACGUGAAGCCGCGGGCCGGAUCAGGGUGCCAAGUGGGCCACUUUUGGUAAGCAGAACUGGCGCUGUGGGAUGAACCAAACGCCCGGUUAAGGCGCCCGAACCGACGCUCAUUGGAAACCAUGAAAGGUGUUGGUUGCUUAAGACAGCAGGACGGUGGCCAUGGAAGUCGGAAUCCGCUAAGGAGUGUGUAACAACUCACCUGCCGAAGCAACUAGCCCUGAAAAUGGAUGGCGCUGAAGCGUCGUGCCUAUACCGGGCCGUCGGGGCAGAGGGCGCGGGCAACCGCGCUGCGAAGCCCCGAUGAGUAGGAGGGUCGCGACGGUGAGCGCAGAAGGGUCUGGGCGCGAGCCCGCCUGGAGCCGCCGUCGGUGCAGAUCUUGGUGGUAGUAGCAAAUACUCCAGCGAGGCCCUGGAGGACUGAUGUGGAGAAGGGUUCCGUGUGAACAGCCGUUGCACACGGGUCAGUCGAUCCUAAGCCCUAGGAGAAAUCCGAUGUUGAUGGAUAGCGGGACGUCGCGGCGAGAGCUUCGAGCACCCCGUCCGUCGGGCGAAAGGGAAUCCGGUUCCUAUUCCGGAACCCGGUUGCGGAACCGCACUCACGAUCCUCGUAUUGACACGGUAACGUGAAUGACCCCAGAGAUGCCGUCUGGAGCCCCGGGAAGAGUUUUCUUUUCUGCAUGAGCGUUCGGGUUCCAUGGAAUCCUCUAGCAGGGAGAUAUGGAAUGGAGCGCAAAGAGCACCGCAGUUGCUGCGGUGUCCGGGGAGUCCCGUCGGCCCUUGAAAAUCUGGGUGAGGGUCACGUGGAGUCGCCGCACCGGUUCGUACCCAUAUCCGCAGCAGUCUCCAAG